CUCGGAGAUCUAUUGAUAGAUCUUGGAGAUCUAUUGAUAGAUCUCGGAGAUCUAUUGAUAGAUCUCGGAGAUCUAUUGAUAGAUCUUGGAGAUCUAUUGAUAGAUCUCGGAGAUCUAUUGAUAGAUCUCGGAGAUCUAUUGAUAGAUCUUGGAGAUCUAUUGAUUACCAGCGAUAGAUAAACAAGACUAGUAGGUGAACAAGGUAUAUUGUUAUCAGAAUUGCUCAAGAAUUUACGAAUUCUUUUGCGAAACCUUUACAUCUUUACCCUUGUUUAUGCGCUUCGAAACCUCACAACCCAUGAUUGUUUGUUCCAAACAACCUCAUGGUGCUUCGGAGCUCACAAACUGUUGAUUAUAGGUAACAGACAGUUCUUAACAGACAGAUUAUAGGUAAACAGACAGUUCUUAACAGACAGAUUAUAGGUAACAGACAGUUGUUAA